rnacentral:rRNA from 1 species
GAUGAACGCUGGCGGCGUGCCUAAUACAUGCAAGUCGAGCGAGCAGACGAGGAGCUUGCUCCUCUGACUUUAGCGGCGGACGGGUGAGUAACACGUGGAUAACCUACCUAUAAGACUGGGAUAACUUCGGGAAACCGGAGCUAAUACCGGAUAAUAUAUUGAACCGCAUGGUUCAAUAGUGAAAGACGGUUUUGCUGUCACUUAUAGAUGGAUCCGCGCCGCAUUAGCUAGUUGGUAAGGUAACGGCUUACCAAGGCAACGAUGCGUAGCCGACCUGAGAGGGUGAUAGGCCACACGGGAACUGAGACACGGUCCAGACUCCUACGGGAGGAAGCAGUAGGGAAUCUUCCGCAAUGGGCGAAAGCAUGACGGAGCAACGCCGCGUGAGUGAUGAAGGUCUUCGGAUCGUAAAACUCUGUUAUUAGGGAAGAACAAAUGUGUAAGUAACUAUGCACGUCUUGACGGUACCUAAUCAGAAAGCAACGGCUAACUACGUG